UACAGAGGUCCCAAGCGUUGUUCGGAUUCAUUGGGCGUAAAGGGUGCGUAGGUGGCGUCGUAAGUCGGGUGUGAAACCUCGGGGCUUAACUCCGAAACUGCAUUCGAUACUGCGGUGCUUGAGGACUGGAGAGGAGACUGGAAUUUACGGUGUAGCAGUGAAAUGCGUAGAGAUCGUAAGGAAGACCAGUGGCGAAGGCGGGUCUCCUGGACAGUUCCUGACACUGGAGGCACGGAAGGCCAGGGGAGCAAACGGG
rnacentral:rRNA from 1 species